rnacentral:rRNA from 1 species
CCUACGGGUGGCAGCAGUAGGGAAUGUUGCGCAAUGGGCGAAAGCCUGACGCAGCAACGCCGCGUGAAAGAGACGAACUUCGGGGUGUAAAGUUCUGUUAGUGGGGACGAAAAAUGACGGUACCCACAGAGGAAGCACCGGCUAACUCCGUGCCAGCAGCCGCGGUAAUACGGAGGGUGCAAGCGUUGUCCGGAAGCAUUGGGCGUAAAGAGUUCGUAGGCGGCAUGGAAAGUCAGGUGUUAAAGGCGCAGGAUCAACCUGUGUAUGGCACUUGAUACUUGCAAGCUGGAUUGCGGUAGAGGUAGAGGGAAUUCCUGGUGUAGCGGUGAAAUGCUUAGAGAUCAGGAGGAACAUCGGUGGCGUAGGCGCUUUACUGGGCCGUAAUUGACGCUGAGGAACGAAAGCCAGGGUAGCAAAUGGGAUUAGAUACCCGAGUAGUC